rnacentral:lncRNA from 10 species
GCAUGCAGGUGAGAAGGGAAGAUACAUGUAAUCUGCAUGUCUGCCACCAUUCCUUGUUACCCUUUUUCAUAUCCCAUGAGCACAGCACUCCAGCGGACCUACCCAAAAUAUGUGGGAGUUCAGUGAAACUCAAACAGCAUGCUUCUGGUCAGCCUAUACAGUCUCUGUCCUGGUGAGGAGCAUGAUCACCAACAGGCAAGAUCUUCUGGCCUUGAAGUUUCGCUUGAGUUAAAAGAGCUCAUCUCAGGACUUUCUGAAUUUUCAGCCCAUAUGACAUGGAAGAAGAGUUAGAAGGGGAAUCUGACUGCUUGGAUCAGGGACUGUCUGGCUGGUGGAACUUGAAUGUAUACAACACUCUUCAUUUGCAUGUUUUGACAUUUUAAAAAAUGUUUUCACUUUCCUUAUCUACUUUGACUCUAAUAACAUCCUGAAAGUCUGCAGGUGUACCCAACAGCUCCGAAGAGACAGUGACAUCGAGAACGGGCCAUGAUGACGAUGGCGGUUUUGUCGAAAAGAAAAGGGGGAAAUGUGGGGAAAAGCAAGAGAGAUGAGAUUGUUACUGUGUCUGUAUAGAAAGAAGUAGACAUAGGAGACUCCAUUUUGUUCUGUACUAAGAAAAAUUCUUCUGCCUUGAGAUGCUGUUAAUCUAUGACCUUACCCCCAACCCCGUGCUCUCUGAAACAUGUGCUGUGUCAAACUCAGGGUUAAAUGGAUUAAGGGCGGUGCAAGAUGUGCUUUGUUAAACAGAUGCUUGAAGGCAGCAUGCUCAUUAAGAGUCAUCACCACUCCC